rnacentral:rRNA from 1 species
UACGAAGGGGGCUAGCGUUGCUCGGAAUCACUGGGCGUAAAGGGCGCGUAGGCGGCGUGGUAAGUCAGUUGUGAAAUCUCCGAGCUUAACUCGGAACGGCCAACUGAUACUGCUGUGCUAGAGUGCAGAAGGGGCAAUCAGAAUUCUUGGUGUAGCGGUGAAAUGCGUAGAUAUCAAGAGGAAUACCAGAGGUGAAGACGGGUUGCUAGGCUGACACUGACGCUGAGGCGCGAAAGCCAGGGGAGCAAACGGG